rnacentral:rRNA from 1 species
UGGGGAAUAUUGGACAAUGGGCGAAAGCCUGAUCCAGCCAUGCCGCGUGUGUGAAGAAGGUCUUCGGAUUGUAAAGCACUUUAAGUUGGGAGGAAGGGCAGUAAGCGAAUACCUUGCUGUUUUGACGUUACCGACAGAAUAAGCACCGGCUAACUCUGUGCCAGCAGCCGCGGUAAUACAGAGGGUGCGAGCGUUAAUCGGAUUUACUGGGCGUAAAGCGUGCGUAGGCGGCUAAUUGAGUCGGAUGUGAAAUCCCCGAGCUUAACUUGGGAAUUGCAUUCGAUACUGGUUAGCUAGAGUGUGGGAGAGGAUGGUAGAAUUCCAGGUGUAGCGGUGAAAUGCGUAGAGAUCUGGAGGAAUACCGAUGGCGAAGGCAGCCAUCUGGCCUAACACUGACGCUGAGGUACGAAAGCAUGGGGAGUAAACAGG